rnacentral:misc_RNA from 1 species
GGAGGUUUUGAAAACCCUCAAAAAGCUUACUCCUUUUAAAAAACUUUGCUCCCAAACAAGUGAUCCAUGUGCAUGCCUUACUUCCAAAAAUUUCCUCCCAAACAAAGUGUUAGAGGCAAAAAAAUAUACAUAGAAAUUAAAUAACUCAUCACAGAAUCUCUUUGAAGACUUGAUUUGUACCUAAUAUGAUAAUGUGAGUUAACCAAAUACGAAAACCACAGAACUCAACUCAACUCAACUAAGC